GAAUAUAUAGAUGUACUGGGAAGAACGGCGUCUCGUCUGACUCCCAUGACGUCACUUUGAUUGUGACGGUCCCACGAAAUGAUAAGCAGUCCACUACACCAGUCCAGCAGGAUGUUGACACGACAGCAGCGUCUUUUGACAGGACACCUUCUGUUCUGGUCAUUGUGUUGACGGUUGUGUUCAUCGUACUUGUCCUAAUUGGAGCGGUUGUGUGUACCAUGAUAUGGCGCUUGUAAAAAACCAAAAGAGAAAACAGGAAAACAAAUUUCCAACACAACGAUGGAGGGGCAUAUUUGGGCCGGUAAUGUAAUCUCACGUCUCACCUACUGUAAAAUUGGACCCAAAGCAAAUGAAAGUAAAAACAAAAGUGCAAGUGUGUGCGUGUGCGUGCGUGUGUACAUGCGGACGUGUGUGGGUGUGUGUUCAUGAAGGUGGGGAGAUCAGUUACGCUUUUUGCGACUGCAGUGUAAAUAUCAUUCUAGUUAACGUUUAUAAAUCGCUUGGAAUGCAAAGAUUGUUGAUGGGUUUCGUUGCAUCGUCAAAACAAAAUAGCUGCGUCAUCACGUCGUUUACAAAAUUUGGACAUAAGGCUGAUGGUAAAUAUUACUUUCUACGUACAUUCGAUGCAUUUAUUCUAGUCAUGUGACCUAAUUUGUACAACGUGAUUGUCAUGUGACAUUGCAUU